rnacentral:lncRNA from 1 species
AUGGCUGCAGCACAGCUCGUCACCUGGGGGGUGCUCCUGGCCACCGGGGUCCCCGCCAAAGCCCAGGGGGUGCUGCUGGCAGGGCUGUCCUUCGGUGGGGACCCCUUGCACAGGGGACAGCAGUGGCCAGGCUCAUCCCCUGCCUGGGAGGCAUCGGGGGAGCCCAGCGGUGCUGGGGCCCCAAGGAGUGAGCGCUGGGGGGUCAAGCACCCCGUGCACUGGUCCCCACAUCUGCAGGCAGGGGAUGGCACCAGGGCACCCCUGGAGAUGGAAACCACUAUGACAGGUGCUGAUAGCAAGAUCUGGAGGGACGGCAGCACAGUCCCGGCUGUGACAGAGGAGCCGCUUGUUGCCUGGCGAGGGCAUGAAGCUGAAGUUCAGGACAGGCCCCUGCCCCACGGCUCUGCACUGGGUACGCUGGGCCCUGAGGUGCCCACGGACAGAGGAGCAGACUCUUCAGGGCCACCCUGGGCAGGGCAGGGCCUCUCCCUGUCCAGGGACAGUGUCUCCAAGACAGCCAGCACCCCCAGCCCUCAGCCAGCCGCACCCACCACUGCCCUGGACCCCACGCUGGCGACAGGGAUGAGGACAGCAGAUGCCCAUGCAGGGGGACACACAGCGGCAGAGGGACACACAGCGCUCCCGGGCCUCUCUCAGGAUGCCAAACUCACUUCAGCCAGCAGCCAGUCGGUCCCACUGGGCACAGCCCCUGUCUCUGAUCCUGGAGGAACGGGGCCAGCCUGGGGUCCCCAUGCCAGCCCUGGCUCUGUGCAGCUGGUGGGCAGCUGGGGGGACACGGGAGGGCCCCCCAGCCCCUCCCCGGCUCUGCCCAGCUCUGCCCCACGGCUGCGCCACACUGCCCCGUCCUGGGGGCUGGCUGAGCCCUGGACUCGGGCGCUCCCGUCCCUCCAGCGCAGCACCCGGAGGGCCCCGCUCAGCCACGCCACCACCGGCCCUGGCGAUGCAGGCCCCCGGACGGACCCUGGGACUACGGGGCAGCGGGGACCUCAGCCCGCCCCAGGGUCUGUCCCCAGCACCGGCCCUGCGCCACCCCCCGCCUCCAGCACGGCCACCCCCGGUACCCCGAGCAGAGGUAGGAGCCAGCGCGGUGCGGGGGGACCCCUUGGCUUGGGAGGGACCAAGCCCCGCAGAUAUCAGCGCCCUGCUCUGCUCUCUCUCGCAGGGCUGCUGGCCGAGGAGGACGUCGGCUCCCCGCAGCAGGUCCGGGGCGCCGUGGGCCCUGUGAGCGUCCCAAAUGCCACCCAAACGACCCCACAGCCAACGGCACAUCCCACCACAGGGACGCUCGGGAUAAGGCACCCAGGUGAUACAGGGCUGCGUCCAAGCCCAUCCGUUCUGCAGACGCUGUGGGAGCCCAUCCCUGGGGCGUCGGGGCUGGCGGGGGGAUGGCAGCUAUCUUGGGCUGCCCAGCCGGGACACAGUGACACCUUCAAUCAGGAUUGCCACCUGACAGCGGCCCUAAUCUACUCCUGCCCGCAGGGAUUAGCGCUAAAUGCUCGGUGGGUGGGGGCUUCCCCAAGGGGGUGGGGGACGUGA